GAGGAUAUAGCUCAGUGGUAGAGCGCAUGCUUAGUAUGCACAGAGCCCUAGGUUCAAUCCCCAGUACCUCCA
rnacentral:tRNA from 1 species